GUUGCGUUUCACAUUUUCACUGAAAUUGUUCUCUCCCCCUGCUCUCUCUCUCCCCUACCCUCCUCUGUGCGACUCCUGUUCGGUUGUUCCCAACCCUAACCCUAACGCAACAGACCUGCUACGUUAUACUGGAGGAUUUUGCUCAAAGUUCGACGCUGUCCUAGUUGCAGAUAAAGAGAGUACUUGUAAAGAGAAGCUGAAUUGUUAAGGAAUGAGGAAGAGUUUCAAAAGAGAGAAAGAUUUGGAAGAGAGAGUUGGGACUCUAUAACAAUCAAGUGGAGCUUCAAAGGAAGAAGCAGACAUGCGGCAUUUCGUGUGUAUUGAUAUCAAAGUGAAGCCCCAACUGAAUCAACUGAUUGGGAUACAUCGACCAACAAGUUGAUGACUUUGUUAUUAGGGACUUAGUGUUUGUAACAGAGACAAAUUAUUGGGAAAUAUGUUGCUAGUGACUUUAUAUUGUUGUUGGAAGGAAUCUUCGAAUACAGUACUUUAGUGACUUUAUUUUUUUUUAAAACUUUCAUGUUAAUUAAAUUGGAUUCAUUUCCACCAAAA